rnacentral:lncRNA from 1 species
UGGCAAUGCCAUAACUACAGAAGAUAUUUUAGGGUAAAAGAUAUUGCCUGGAAUAAGAUCCAUGCAAGAUUGAAAGGAAACACCAAGAGCAUCUAAGAUGCAAGGAUAAAACUUCAAGAGAGAAUCUUGGAGGCUCCCAGCAAACCGGACAAGGCCAAACAGGACACGCUGAUGAUGUCAAUGACUGAAGAAAAACCCUUUUCUACCCAGGUGCGGUG